rnacentral:lncRNA from 1 species
GAAAAUGUUUGUAGUCAUCCUGAUAUAAUGUGUCAUGAUUGAAAUACAAAUGCAAUGCCUUUUCAUCCAUUUUGACCUUAUCUCUUACCAUUAACUGCUUUCAGACCUAGUCAUCAUGCUGAUCAGGGUGAAAUUCAAUGGUGAACAAAAAUAUAUCAAGAUAAUUGACCUGACACUUGAAAAUCUUUUGAUUGGAGCUUUCCUGAAAUUUGAGGCCCACUUACUAGUUUAUCAGAGGCACAGCUGUAUGAUGGGUCUGGAACUGAAGUUGAUGGAAUCUUCCCUGAUGAGUCCUGCCUCUGCCAGUGCUGUGAUGGGUGGUUCAGACCGUGAGUCGGAUGAUACAAUAAUUUUGAGCGAGGAUGGAAGCCCCUCACGAAAGCCUCAAAGAUCUGAUGACGAAGCAAAAAAUCUAAUAGAGGGCAUACUGAAGAAAAAGCCUGGUGGAGAGGUGGUCAUCAAGGAAUACUCCAAAACUAACGGCCUGACUGACUGCACCAGACGAAAGAUGAUCAACAUUCUUGUUUUGGAGAUGACAGAUUCACGGACAUCACCAUCGCGCAGUGUGAGAGAAACGUUUCCACAAGGCAUUGUCUCCUUGUUCCCAUACCUGAAGGAUCCCUACACCACAAAUUGAUAUGAACAUUAUUACCACCCUACUAGUGGAGGAGGGUACCUCUCGUAUAGAAUCAAAACCGUUCAGAGGAAUUUGGCUUCAUCUGAGAAACGGCCCACUCAACUAUACUAUGGAUUGCCAACUGCUGAGAGGGAGUCCAGUCCAUCCACUUUGGCUACUCUGAGUGAAGACUGGUGCAGAGAGACCGUUUCUCUUAUGAAGCAUUCUUCUGAUGAAGAAACAGUCAAACAGAAGAUGAAAUUGACCUUUGGGUACAGGAAGAAGAUGACCCACGACCUGAGUAAAUGCUCCACCAUUCUAACCAAAUUUCCACGCUUUCUGGAUGUGAAGGGCUUAAUUUUUGUGGUGCUGUUUUUUGAGGGAACAUCAGCCACGUUUUUGGAGAGGUGGCCAACUAUAAUCAAGCAUGAAUGCUGAUGGUUAGAUGAUCAUAAUUUGUCAUUUACACUACCGUUCAAAGGUUUGGGGUCACUUAGAAAUGUCCUUGUUUUUGAAAGAAAAGCUUAUUUUUUUUGUCCAUUAAAAUAACAUCAAAUUGAUCAGAAAUACAUUGUAGACGUUGUUAAUGUUGUAAAUUGCUAUUGUAGCUGGAAAAGGCUGAUUUUUAUUGGAAUAUCUACAUACAGAGGCACAUUAUCACCAACCAUCACUCCUGUGUUCGAUUACAGGCUCAAAAUGGCCAGAAACAAAGACCUUCCUUCUGAAACUCAUCGGUCUAUUCUUGUUCUGAGAAAUGAAGGCUACUCCAUGCGAGAAAUUGCCAAGAAACUGAAGAUCUCGUACAAAGCUGUGUACUACUCCCUGCAGAGAACAGCACAAACUGGCUCUAACCAGAAUAGAAAGAGGAGUGGGAGGCCCCGGUGCACAACUGAGCAAGAGGACAAGUACAUUACAGUGUCUAGUUUGUGAAACAGACACUUAACAAGUCCUCAACUGGCAGCUUUAUUAAAUAGUACCCGCAAAACACCAGUCUCAAUGUCAACAGUGAAGAGGCGACCCCAGAAUGCUGGCCUUCUAGGCAGAGUUCCUCUGUCCAGUGUCUGUGUUCUUUUGCCCAUCUUAAUCUUUUCUUUUUGUUGGCCAGUCUGGGAUAUGGCAUUUUCUUUGCAACUCUUCCUAGAAGGCCAGCAUCCUUCAUUAACCUGUUGAGGGUAGGGGGCAGUAUUUGCACGGCCGGAUAAAAAACGUACCCGAUUUAAUCUGGUUAUUACUACUGCCCAGAAACUAGAAUAUGCAUAUAAUUAUUGGCUUUGGAUAGAAAACACCCUAAAGUUUCUAAAACUGUUUGAAUGGUGUCUGUGAGUAUAACAGAACUCAUAUGGCAGGCAAAAACCUGAGAAGAUUCUGUACAGGAAGUGCCCUCUCUGACCAUUCCUUGGGCUUCUUGACUCUUUUUAUUGAAAACUUAGGAUCUUUGCUGUAACGUGACACUUCCUACGGCUCCCAUAGGCUCUCAGAACCCAGGAAAAACCUGAAUGACGUCUUUGCAGCCCCUGGCUGAAAAACAUUAGCGCCUUUGGUAAGUAGUCUAUCAGAGGACAAUGAGACUGAGGCGCGUGCACGAGGUGACCCCAUGUUUUUAUUUUCUCUCUCUUUGUACUAAAACACGGUUUCCCGGUUGGAAUAUUAUCGCUUUUUUACGAGAAAAAUGGCAUAAAAAUUGAUUUUAAACAGCGGUUGACAUGCUUCGAAGUACGGUAAUGGAAUAUUUAGAAUUUUUUUGUCACGAAACGCGUCGGGCGCAUCACCUUUC